rnacentral:rRNA from 2 species
GUGUGUGAGAGUGGAAAGUUCACACAGUGACGGUAACUUACCAGAAAGGGACGGCUAACUACGUGCCAGCAGCCGCGGUAAUACGUAGGUCCCGAGCGUUGUCCGGAUUUAUUGGGCGUAAAGCGAGCGCAGGCGGUUUGAUAAGUCUGAAGUAAAAGGCUGUGGCUUAACCAUAGUAUGCUUUGGAAACUGUCAAACUUGAGUGCAGAAGGGGAGAGUGGAAUUCCAUGUGUAGCGGUGAAAUGCGUAGAUAUAUGGAGGAACACCGGUGGCGAAAGCGGCUCUCUGGUCUGUAACUGACGCUGAGGCUCGAAAGCGUGGGGAGCAAACAGGAUUAGAUACCCUGGUAGUCCACGCCGUAAACGAUGAGUGCUAGGUGUUGGGUCCUUUCCGGGACUCAGUGCCGCAGCUAACGCAUUAAGCACUCCGCCUGGGG